rnacentral:lncRNA from 1 species
CAAAAGGCUUUGUGAGGAAUCUGAGAUUUCAGCUGUGCCUUGGAGGAAGUGACGGAAUAUAGGAGUUGGACAGAGAUAAAGAGGGAAAGGAUUCCAGGCCUGGGGGAAGACAGCCAGUGAAAAUGUACCCAGUUGGGAAGUGGAACAUCUUCUGCAAGAAACAGCAAGGAGGCUAAAAUCACCAGCUGGAUCAUGGAAUAUAUGCAGUAUUGACUUGAAGACGAAAGCUCUAAUGCAUGAUCAGUUUUUCUAGAAGUUCCAUGCUGUGGAAAAAAAAAAUUGUCUCCUCAUCUACAUUUCAAUUCAGUUGAAGAAGCACCUGAAUACUCUUCAGACUUUGUGUGGAUAUCUGGUGGCAGUUCCCUUCAGAAGGAGCAUCAGCAGCCGCCGCCACCUCAACCACCACAACCCCCAGCGUCUCACCGGCACUAACCCCGUGCUAGCAGCGCCGCGCCGAGCUCAGCCAAGUAAUCUUGCCUUUGGAGACCCGCGAGGAGCAGACAGCGAACACUGAGCCUUGCGGGGUGCUG